GGAGAGACGGGCGGGAGGAGCGGGAGGAGGAGGAGGAGGAAAGAAGCAGCAGGAGGAGGAGGAGGAGGAGGAGGAGGAGCCCCGCUCAGGCGUCCGGGUCACAGACUCACUGAGGCUGGACAACACUUCUGAGACCAUCGUGUCCAAUAUUUGACCGAUCACCACCUUGUUGACCAGCCCAGAGCACUGAGGGCCACAUCGAGUCAUCCCUUGAUGUGAUGGGGAAGGAAGCACCUAAGAUGGUUCUUAUAGCCUUGAUCUCCAAGGAUUUCCCAACAUGACUCAGCUCAAUCCUCAAAGAGGUGAAGAAGGUUUGGCAGCAGUUUGCAGUCAGAGGAACAGGCCUGUUGCAGUGCAGAACCAGCAGAGACCAGGAGUCCUGAACGUCAAUCCCUGUGGUGCUCAUGUUGGACAAGUGCAGUAUGGAGGAACCAGUGAGGCAGGUGAGCAGAGACUAUUUCUGCAAUAAGCUUCUCCAGAAAUAAUGCUCCUAAAAUCCCAUGAAUUUUUAUUACAUUUACUUGGCCCACAAGUCUAACAUGGGUGUUUUCAGCAGCAGCAGACAUGAGUGAAUGGAAGAUGCAUCUUCCUGGAGAGCAUGUGCUGUGUUAGUACAGGAGGAGGAGCAGCUGUCCCCCUGCAGUCUGCCUGAAAUUUAAUCCUGUAGGGUUUCUGAAAAAGAGAAGUUUGAAGCUUUUCUUUGAACAGUAACAUCCAGGGACAAGCAGUGAGUGUGAACACACUGCAGUUGCUGGAGUCCAGGAGGAAGCUGAGUGAGACUGGGGUUGUUUGGUUGCAAAGAGCACAGUGAAAUAAUUCACACAGCACAUCUUGGAGAGAAGAAGUAUUUUCUUUUUGUCAGAAGAAAAUAAACGGGUGGAGAAAGAGGUAAUUAAAUGUUUUCCUAAUAGUUCUGUCUUGUGGUUGGUUGACUUGAGUGCAUAUGGAUGCUCAAGUUCCAAAUGAAACUUUUCCUGCUUAUUUUUUUUGGUCAUGUAGAAAGAUUUUUCUCUUUCUGGGUCUUUGCUUUUGCUUUUUUUUUUCUUUUCCUUUAAUUGGGGCUCUUUAACCUCAAGUGAAGCAUCUCUUUUCAUGAGGCUCUGAAGAAUGUAUUGAUCACUAUCCUUAUCUCUGAAACUAGUCCCAGAUCCCAGCUCUGGUGGAGUUACCCUCACUAUGUCCCCACUCUGUGUCAGGAUAGGACCCAAUUACAUACCUUUUACUGCCACUUGCCACAAACUGCAGAGCUUUGGAGGAGGCCACUGCACACUCCAACAAGUCCCUUGGUGUGGAUGAUCAGAGGGACAGGACUGUGACCAAACUGAGGAAGGUAUGAUCACAAAAGCUUUGUAUUCACAGGAAGUGAGGCUAAUAAAAUACAGAUCUAAUUCCUUUAGUUUUAAAAGGCACGAGAUACUAUUGUUUUAUACUCCAGCUAAGCCAAUUCUACAAAACCCAGAGCCUUUAAAAAGAUAAACUAAAUUUCUGGACAUGCAAGGCCAAGUCUACAUCUGGUGUGAAUCCAGUGGAAACAGGCUGAUGUGUGGGAAAUGAGAAGCAUUUUGAUUCUGUAGCACAGAAUCAAAGUGGAGAUUAAAAAGACCAUCUGAAUUGGGCUGUUUUCCAUUUCUGUUGCUUUUCUGGCCACAAAAAAGUUUGAUUCUGCUGUGCCCUGAACAGUGGGAGUUUGCAGUGAGUUACAGGCCCUGCUCCCCAGUGGAGUUCAACCACCCACUGCUUAAUUCAAUUAAUCCAAGAAAGCCGAGUAAAGAGGUGGAUUUGGGAAGCAGCUUUGUGGGUUGCUGAGACUAAACUCCAGUGCACUCACAGAAGAAAAGAAUUACAGCACUGGGGACACUGCCUGGGCAAGUGGGAGAGCUGAUUUCCUCUCUCCCAGGUGACUCUACCUGUAGGUGUUACAAAGUGAAGAGUUUGGUAACAGUUUCCAUUGGACAAACUAUGAAACCAUAUCACCUUUAGAUGAGUGCAACGAGAAUGGUUCCAAUGUGGAGGGCAAACCUAUGACCAGAAAAAAAUGUGUGUUCUUAACUGCAGGUGAAGGCCAGGGAAGCAGAAAUUGCACAGGACAGGGAGCCUUGGCCUCAUUCAAAAGAACUGCCUUUGGAGGCAUUUAGAAGAACAAUACCCAAAAAAUCUUUGUGUAAAGAGCAGACCAGGCAGCUGAAGAGAUGCCACAGGAUUUCAGAGGAUCACCACAUCUUUGCAAGUCCUUCAGCUGAACAAGCCUACCUUUUGAACAGUUGAAUCCAGGCUUGAUACAUCAACCAAACUUCAGAGGAGUUGUUCUUGCCUCACACCAAUGUUGAGACGAAAGAGAAGCAAGUUAUUCAUGUUUUAAUGUUGUUUUGUGCCAGAUGUUUUGCUGGUAGAAAUCCAUAGCUCCACAGGCACCCAUUUCUUCAGGAUCUGGAAUGUCUGACACAAUUUCUGUCUCCAUUCUGGAUGGUCUGUGAAGGAAGCUGCUUUAUUUUGCAAUAUUGAAUAUUCAUGCUGGGAAGUUAUAAGGAAAAACAAAAUAAUGAGAGACAGGGUCUCUAAUAAGCUUCCUGUCACAUGAGGCUCUGGUUCUGGUGAAGCAGAUGUGGUUGCUGACUUGUUUCCAAAAUGUUUGUGGAGUGGUGAUUAGAUUCUGUCAUACUGAUGUUAUAUCUCUGUGAUCUCAUUCAAUACAAGUAGUUCUGCAAACAGUGAAAUAUUUUUUUCCUAUGGAUUUA